AGAAGGGAGACAGUGGAGGACAAUAACAGAGGGAAGGUAUUUUAGAGAUUUCAGACAAUUAAUGAGAAAACUGCAGCAGGUAGAAACAGGGAUAGAAAUCGAUUAGGGAAAGCAAGAAUGAGAGAGUGGGAGAGUGAGAGAGGGAGGGAGGAUCACUGGGCUCUGCGAGCAUGCGAGGAUCAGCAGCGACAGAACGAGACGGAGAGAGAUAGAGAGCGGUAAAGGAGAGCGUUGCUGAGGACUUAAAGGACUACCAGAUGCAAGGGAGACACACCAAGAACAGGGGAGAGGAGAAGCAUGCGGACCAAAGAGCACAAGAAAAGAAUGCACCGUAAUGCCCAGAAACCAAUCACCUGCAAAUCAUUGGUCAAAAUCA